AUUUAUUAUUAUUAUUGAUAAAUGUUUGCCCUAUGGAUAAAUCAGACUGCUUCAGGAAAUCCCUAGAAUGUGUAACUAUUUGAAGAACCCUUUUUUAUCAUGAGACUGACCCAUCGUGGCCACAAGCACAGGGAUUUCUGGGAAGAAGGAAGGAUGGAAAGAAAAUAAGGAAGUUGCAUUUUUGCUGAGCCCACUGCCAGGAGAACACCCCAGUCUUGUCUCAUCAUGGAAGUAUAUGGAGCACCCUACCUUCUGCCAAUCCAAACCUGACCAAUUCUUCAAGUUCUGCCUCCUCCCAGGAGCCUUCCUAGACUACUCCAACUCCCGAGAAUCCUCUCUGGAUAUAGCCUUUCCUUCUAACGGAGAGAAACAGUUCAACAAAAAACCAACUCAUGCCAAGGCUGUGAUUCAUGGUGGAUGCAGUAUUCGACACCCACAGUCCUCUGCCUCUGAUAAAAGGAAGGAAGAGAAUUUGAGGAAGGUUUUCAACAGCAAGAUUGGAGAAGAUGGGCUUUUGUUACUGGUAAAAUUCACUUUCUCAUUCCUUAAGCAUUCCAGCAAAUGGAGCUACAGCCUGUUGGAUGGGCAUUUCCCCUUGGGCAGGGACUGGCUCGGUAUGGUUUUCUAGGUGCGGAGCUGUAAGAUGUUUGGAAACGGGCUUUAGGGAUUCGGCUUCUUCCUUCUGAAGAUCCAUCAUUUCAUCGGCCUCCUCUAAAGGAGAGAACACUGGAUUGGAAUCAAAGGCCCUCAUCCUAGCUAGCUCGGCUAUUCCACACGACCAAUGUGACUUUGGGUAACCCAUUCUCUGGGUUCGUUUCUUCCUGUAAAUAAAAAGGGUUGGGCUAGGUGACUUUUUUUUUUU
rnacentral:lncRNA from 1 species